UACGGGGGGGGCAAGCGUUGUUCGGAAUUACUGGGCGUAAAGGGCUCGUAGGUGGCCAACUAAGUCAGACGUGAAAUCCCUCGGCUUAACCGGGGAACUGCGUCUGAUACUGGAUGGCUUGAGUUCGGGAGAGGGAUGCGGAAUUCCAGGUGUAGCGGUGAAAUGCGUAGAUAUCUGGAGGAACACCGGUGGCGAAGGCGGCGACCUGGACGGAUACUGACGCUGAGGUGCGAAAGCGUGGGGAGCAAACAGG
rnacentral:rRNA from 1 species